AAAAGAACGACAAGCACGUCGAUUGGCAAUGCGUAAAAAAUAUGAAGCAAAAGCGAAUGAUGAAUCAUUGAUAAUGGCCG
rnacentral:sRNA from 1 species